rnacentral:rRNA from 1 species
CCUACGGGAGGCAGCAGUGGGGAAUAUUGCACAAUGGGCGAAAACCUGAUGCAGCAACGCCGCGUGAGCGAUGAAGGCCUUCUGGUCGUAAAGCUCUGUCCUCAAGGAAGAUAAUGACGGUACUUGAGGAGGAAGCCCCGGCUAACUACGUGCCAGCAGCCGCGGUAAUACGUAGGGGGCUAGCGUUAUCCGGAAUUACUGGGCGUAAGGGGGGUGUAGGUGGUUUCUUAGGUCAGAGGUGAAAGGUUACGGGUCAACCGUAGUAAGCCUUUGAAACUGGCGAACUUGAGUGCAGUAGAGGAGAGUGGAAUUCGUAGUGUAGCGGUGAAAUGCGUAGAUAUUAGGAGGAACACCAGUUGCGAAGGCGGCUUUCUGGACUGUAACUGACACUGAGGCACGAAAGCGUGGGGAGCAAACAGGAUUAGAUACCCCGGUAGUC